AUGCACCGGAUCCCAUCAGA
rnacentral:snRNA from 1 species